CUCACUUGGGUUGCGUUGCUGUUCUGUGGGCGGUUUGUUCUUUUGCUGUUUGCAAUAACUUUUGCUGCUGCUUACUUUUUGGGUCCACACUGCUUUUAUGAGCUGUAACACUCACCACGAAGGUCUGCAGCUUCACUUCUGAAGCCAGCGAGACCACGAACCCACCGGGAGAGAACAAACAACUCCAGAAGCACCGCCUUAAGAGCUGUAACACUCACCGAGAGGGUCCGCUGCUUCAUUCUUGAAGUCAGUGAGACCAAGAACCCACCAAUUCCGGACACGAUGGUGCUGCCAAACCAGCCUGGAAAACGCGGCCUUCUGGACUUCUUGUACUGUGCGACUCCAGUCCCUGACCCCACCAGGAAAAGGCAGAGGCACCUGAUUUCCCCGCACCUGUGGAGCUGCAGGGGGUGUCUGGGUCUCCAACUCCAGUGGGGAAUGAUGUUCAACUUCCUGUUAUGCUGGGAUCCACCUGCGGGUGAGAAUGAAGGGCUUGGAGCCUUGACCCUGGAUGGAGACAUGUCUUCCCUUUCACAGGAGAUCAUAAAACCAGAGCUGACAGCAAAGAUGGUCCUUCCUGAGGGUGAAAUGAUGGUAACACUGACAAAUAUGGGCGUAAUCUCAACACAAGCUCAAAGAAAAAGCAGAUUCAUGGAGAGAUGA
ensembl:lincRNA